AGCGAACGCUGGCGGCGUGCCUAACACAUGCAAGUCGAACGUGAAAAGGGAAACCUGAGUAAAGUGGCGUACGGGUGAGUAACGCGUAGGUAAUCUACCCCAGAAUCUGGAAUAACCUGCCGAAAGGCGGGCUAAUACUGGAUAGAGCGAGGGAACUCGUAAGAGAGUUUUUCGGGAAAGGGAGCCCGCAAGGGCCUUCGUUCUGGGAUGAGCCUGCGUCUCAUUAGCUAGUUGGUAAGGUAACGGCUUACCAAGGCGAUGAUGAGUAGCUGGUCUGAGAGGAUGAUCAGCCACACUGGAACUGAAACACGGUCCAGACUCCUACGGGAGGCAGCAGUGGGGAAUCUUGCGCAAUGGACGAGAGUCUGACGCAGCCACGCCGCGUGAGUGAAGAAGGCCUUCGGGUUGUAAAGCUCUGUCGGAUGGGACGAACAUCUUCAUAGUGAAUAGCUAUGAGGACUGACGGUACCAUCAAAGGAAGCACCGGCUAACUCCGUG
rnacentral:rRNA from 1 species